GACCCGUCUUGAAACACGGACCAAGGAGUCUAACAUGUGCGCGAGUCACGGGGUCUUGAAUAGGCCCGGAGGCGCAAUGAAAGUGAAGGCCGCGUUCGCGCGUGCCGCGUUGGGACUCGUCUACUGGUUUCGGCCCGUGGGCGAGGCACCAACGGCCCGUCCCGUCCGAUUUAUCGGUGGGGCGGAGUCCGAGCGUACACGUUGGGACCCGAAAGAUGGUGAACUAUGCCUGGGCAGGACGAAGCCAGAGGAAACUCUGGUGGAGGUCCGUAGCGGUUCUGACGUGCAAAUCGAUCGUCAGACCUGGGUAUAGGUGCGAAAGACUAAUCGAACCAUCUAGUAGCUGGUUCCCUCCGAAGUUUCCCUCAGGAUAGCUGGCACUCGGAGGAAUCAGUCUCAUCCGGUAAAGCGAAUGAUUAGAGGCCUUGGGGCCGAAACGACCUCAACCUAUUCUCAAACUUUAAAUGGGUGAGAAGUCCGGCUUGCGAGACCGAAGCCCGGACCGUCUCGGAUGUGAGUGCCCAGUGGGCCACUUUUGGUAAGCAGAACUGGCGCUGUGGGAUGAACCAAACGCCGGGUUACGGCGCCCGAUGCGAGACGCUCAUGAGACCCCAUGAAAGGUGUUAGUUGCUACAGACAGCAGGGCGGUGGCCAUGGAAGUCGGAAUCCGCUAAGGAGUGUGUAACAACUCACCUGCCGAAGCAACUAGCCCUGAAAAUGGAUGGCGCUCCAGCGUCGAGCCCAUACCCGGCCGUCGCGGCAGAGCUUCUUUUUAUAAAUCAGUUGGAGACUUACGCCGCGACGAGUAGGAGGGUCGCGGCGGCGAGCGUUGAAGGUGCCGGGCGCGAGCCCGCCUGGAGCCGCCGCCGGUGCAGAUCUUGGUGGUAGUAGCAAAUACUCAAGUGAGAACCUUGAGGACUGAGGUGGAGAAGGGUUCCAUGUGAACAGCAGUUGAACAUGGGUCAGUCGGUCCUAAGGAAUAGGAGAAGUCCGUUCCGAAGCGGGGCGUUGUUACUCUGACGUGUGCUCGUCCCGCUGGCGACCGAAAGGGAAUCGGGUCAAUAUUCCCGAACCCGGACGCGGAGAUCGGGCCCUCGGGUCCAAGUGCGGCGACGCAACCGAACUCGGAGACGUCGACGGGAGUCCCGGGAAGAGUUGUCUUUUCUUUGUAAGGGUCCGGGUCCCUGGAAUCGGCUCGUCCGGAGAUAGGGAUGCCGUUCCCGUAAAGCACCGCGGCUCUUGCGGUGUCCGGAGCGCUCCUGUCGGCCCUUGAAAAUCCGAGGGAGGAGGUGUGAUUUUCGCGCCGGACCGUACCCAUAUCCGCAGCAGGUCUCCAAGGU
rnacentral:rRNA from 1 species